UUAGCCUCUUUUUGAGAAUCUGCUUCUUGAUUCUUCUUUUCUUAUUUCUUAUAAUUCCUCUUCUUUUGAUUAGUGCCUUUCUUUCAGUUUUUGUAAAAACAGGUGUAUCAUCUUUUCUGGAAAUUUCAACAUCCAUCAUUUGCAUAGCAAAGGUCUUUUGAUUAGUAAGCAAAUUUUCCAACUUAACAAUUGUAAAUAGAUUUGUCCAUCCUCGGGUGGGUGUCAAGAAGAGCACCAUCCAAAAA
rnacentral:lncRNA from 1 species